rnacentral:rRNA from 1 species
AUUGAACGCUGGCGGCAUGCCUUACACAUGCAAGUCGAACGGUAACAGGUCUUCGGAUGCUGACGAGUGGCGAACGGGUGAGUAAUACAUCGGAACGUGCCUAGUAGUGGGGGAUAACUACUCGAAAGAGUGGCUAAUACCGCAUGAGAUCUACGGAUGAAAGCAGGGGAUCGCAAGACCUUGUGCUACUAGAGCGGCCGAUGGCAGAUUAGGUAGUUGGUGGGAUAAAAGCUUACCAAGCCGACGAUCUGUAGCUGGUCUGAGAGGACGAUCAGCCACACUGGGACAGAGACACGGCCCAGACUCCUACGGGAGGCAGCAGUGGGGAAUUUUGGACAAUGGGCGAAAGCCUGAUCCAGCAAUGCCGCGUGCAGGAUGAAGGCCUUCGGGUUGUAAACUGCUUUUGUACGGAACGAAAAGCUCUGGGUUAAUACCCUGGGGUCAUGACGGUACCGUAAGAAUAAGCACCGGCUAACUACGUGCCAGCCGCCGCUGUAAAAC